rnacentral:rRNA from 1 species
CUAUGCCCCAAUCCAGGAAGGCAGCAGGCGCGUAAAUUGCCCGAAUCCUGACACAGGGAGGUAGUGACAAGAAAUAACAAUACAGGGCUACUUCUAGUCUUGUAAUUGGAAUGAGUACAACUUACAUCUCUUCACGAGGAUCAAUUGGAGGGCAAGUCUGGUGCCAGCAGCCGCGGUAAUUCCAGCUCCAAUAGCGUAUAUUAAAGUUGUUGCAGUUAAAAAGCUCGUAGUCGGAUUUCGGGUCGGGCCGAGCGGUCUGCCGAUGGGUAUGCACUGUUUGGCGCGGCCUUCUUUCCGGAGACCGCGGCUACUCUUAACUGAGCGGGCGUGGGAGACGGAUCGUUUACUUUGAAAAAAUCAGAGUGUUUCAAGCAGGCAGCUCGCUCUUGCAUGGAUUAGCAUGGGAUAAUUGAAUAGGACUCUGGUGCUAUUUUGUUGGUUUCGAACACCGGAGUAAUGAUUAACAGGGACAGUCAGGGGCACUCGUAUUCCGUCGAGAGAGGUGAAAUUCUCAGACCAAUGGAAGACGAACCACUGCGAAAGCAUUUGCCAGGGAUGUUUUCACUGAUCAAGAACGAAAGUUAGGGGAUCGAAGACGAUCAGAUACCGUCGUAGUCUUAACCAUAAACCAUGCCGACUAGGGAUUGGAGGGUGUUCGUUUCGACCUCUUCAGCACCUUACGGGAAACUAAAGUCUUUGGGUUCCGGGGGGAGUAUGGUCGCAAGGCUGAAACUUAAAGGAAUUGACGGAAGGGCACCACCAGGAGUGGAGCCUGCGGCUUAAUUUGACUCAACACGGGGAAACUUACCAGGUCCAGACAUUGUUAGGAUUGACAGAUUGAGAGCUCUUUCUUGAUUCGAUGGGUGGUGGUGCAUGGCCGUUCUUAGUUGGUGGAGUGAUUUGUCUGGUUAAUUCCGUUAACGAACGAGACCGUAGCCUGCUAAAUAGUUCCGCGAACUUCUUGUUGGCGGUCGACUUCUUAGAGGGACAACUUGUGACCAACAAGUGGAAGUUUGCGGCAAUAACAGGUUGUUUGUGGAUGCCCCCAA